UACAGAGGGUGCAAGCGUUGUUCGGAAUUAUUGGGCGUAAAGCGCGUGUAGGCGGCUUUGCAAGUCGGGUGUGAAAGCCCUCAGCUCAACUGAGGAAGUGCGCCCGAAACUGCAGAGCUUGAGUGCCGGAGAGGGUGGCGGAAUUCCCCAAGUAGAGGUGAAAUUCGUAGAUAUGGGGAGGAACACCGGUGGCGAAGGCGGCCGACCUGGACGG
rnacentral:rRNA from 1 species